rnacentral:rRNA from 1 species
GACGAACGCUGGCGGCGUGCUUAACACAUGCCAGUCGAACGGAAAGGCCCUGCUUUUGUGGGGUGCUCGAGUGGCGAACGGGUGAGUAACACGUGAGUAACCUGCCCUUGACUUUGGGAUAACUUCAGGAAACUGGGGCUAAUACCGGAUAGGAGCUCCUGCUGCAUGGUGGGGGUUGGAAAGUUUCGGCGGUUGGGGAUGGACUCGCGGCUUAUCAGCUUGUUGGUGGGGUAGUGGCUUACCAAGGCUUUGACGGGUAGCCGGCCUGAGAGGGUGACCGGCCACAUUGGGACUGAGAUACGGCCCAGACUCCUACGGGAGGCAUCAGUGGGGAAUAUUGCACAAUGGGCUGAAGCCUGAUGCAGCAACGCCGCGUGCGGGAUGACGGCCUUCGGGUUGUAAACCGCUUUCGCCUGUGACGAAGCGUGAGUGACGGUAAUGGGUAAAGAAGCACCGGCUAACUACGUG